UGGGGAAUAUUGGACAAUGGGCGAAAGCCUGAUCCAGCCAUGCCGCGUGAGUGACGAAGGCCUUAGGGUUGUAAAACUCUUUCGUCGGGGACGAUAAUGACGGUACCCGAAGAAGAAGCUCCGGCUAACUUCGUGCCAGCAGCCGCGGUAAUACGAAGGGAGCAAACGUUGCUCGGAAUUAUUGGGCGUAAAGCGCACGUAGGCGGCUUAGCAAGUUGGAUGUGAAAGCCCUCGGCUCAACCAAGGAAGUGCAUCCAAAACUGCUGAGCUUGAGUACUUAAGAGGAUCGCGGAAUUCCGGGUGUAGCGGUGAAAUGCGUAGAUAUCCGGAGGAACACCAGUGGCGAAGGCGGCCCCCUGGACCCAAACUGACGCUGAGGUACGAAAGCGUGGGUAGCAAACAGGAUUAGAUACCCGAGUAGUCCCUGAGCGGGCUGGCAAGGCGCAU
rnacentral:rRNA from 1 species